rnacentral:misc_RNA from 1 species
GACGAGCUCCCCAAACGUUAUUCGGUAUCACUGGGCUUAAAGAGUUCGUAGGCGGCUUUGUAGGUGAGGUGUGAAAGCCCACGGCCUAACCGUGGAAUUGCGCUUCAAACCGCAGGGCUAGAGGGAUACAGGGGUAAGCGGAACAGAUGGUGGAGCGGUGAAAUGCGUUGAUAUCAUUUGGAACACCGGUGGCGAAAGCGGCUUACUGGGUAUUUUCUGACGCUGAGGAACGAAAGCUAGGGUAGCGAACGGG